UACGAAGGGGGCUAGCGUUGCUCGGAAUCACUGGGCGUAAAGCGCACGUAGGCGGACUCUUAAGUCAGGGGUGAAAUCCUGGAGCUCAACUCCAGAACUGCCUUUGAUACUGAGAGCCUUGAGUUCGGGAGAGGUGAGUGGAACUGCGAGUGUAGAGGUGAAAUUCGUAGAUAUUCGCAAGAACACCAGUGGCGAAGGCGGCUCACUGGCCCGGAGUACUGACG
rnacentral:rRNA from 1 species